rnacentral:rRNA from 1 species
AUUGAACGCUGGCGGCAGGCCUAACACAUGCAAGUCGAACGAGUGGCGGACGGGUGAGUAAUGUCUGGGAAACUGCCUGAUGGAGGGGGAUAACUACUGGAAACGGUAGCUAAUACCGCAUACCAUCGGAUGUGCCCCGAUGGGAUUAGCUAGUAGGUGGGGUAAAGGCUCACCUAGGCGACGAUCCCGCGCGGGUCUGCAAGGAUGACCAGCAACACUGGAACGUGUAUACGGGCCAUACUCCGACGGUAGGCAGCAGUGGGGAAUAUUGCACAAUGGGCGCAAGCCUGAUGCAGCCAUGCCGCGUGUAUGAAGAAGGCCUUAGGGUUGUAAAGUACGUUCAGCGGGGAGGCGUUACCCGCAGAAGAAGCACCGGCUAACUCCGUGCCAGCAGCCGCGGUAAUUC